rnacentral:ribozyme from 1 species
UCAAAAAACAUAUCACAAGAUGGAAAGAAACAUUGACAAAGAAAAAAAAAUACAAGGACGAAAGACGUCAGUUUUCGCACUCUUUCCCAAUUGCAUGUCUGUUGUCGACGGUUGAAAGGGGUGUUUCCAGUUCGAUUCCCUCUUGCAGCAACAGAAGAGCUUGCUACGGGGAAGAAGCUCCAAUGCUUGGAAAAAGAGAAAACCAAUAAAGAAAAUGUUCAUUUUUGGGUUACGAAAAUAGGAAAUGCAGGUGCGUGGUGUCGUCGUCAGAUUCAAAAUGCAAAAAGAAGAUGCAAAAAAAAAGUUCCA